rfam:Proteiniborus sp. DW1 genome assembly, contig: DW1_contig25
GCCCAGAUAGCUCAGUAGGUAGAGCAGGGGACUGAAAAUCCCCGUGUCGGUGGUUCGAUUCCGCCUCUGGGCA